UAAAAGCAUUUUAAAAUCCCUUGUAAAUCUUUUAAAAUACUUUUAAACCCUUUAAAAAUCUUUAAAAAACCUUUGUAAAUCUUUUAAAACCCUUUAAAAUCUCUUGUAAAUAUUUUAAAACCUUUUUAAAUCCCUUGUAAAUCUUUUAAAACCCUUUUAAAAUCCAAUGUAAAUCUUUUAAAAUCCCUUGUAAAUCUAUUUCCCGCCAAAAUAAAUUUACAAGGAUUUUUAAAAGCAUUUUUUUGACUGAGAAAAUUUUUGUGACAAAAAAAAGAUUUGGUGAAU
rnacentral:sRNA from 1 species